AUACGUAGGGGGCGAGCGUUAUCCGGAAUUAUUGGGCGUAAAGGGUUCGCAGGCGGCCAUUUAAGUCAGAUGUGAAAGAUAGUGGCUUAACCAUUAUAAGCAUUUGAAACUGGGUGGCUUGAGUACAGGAGAGGAAAGCGGAAUUCCUAGUGUAGCGGUGAAAUGCGUAGAUAUUAGGAGGAACACCAGUGGCGAAGGCGGCUUUCUGGACUGAAACUGACGCUGAGGAACGAAAGCGUGGGGAGCAAACAGGAUUAGAUACCCUGGUAGUCCACGCUGUAAACGAUGAGUGCUAGGUGUUGGGGGUCGAACCUCAGUGCCGCAGCUAACGCAUUAAGCACUCCGCCUGGGGAGUACGGUCGCAAGACUGAA
rnacentral:rRNA from 1 species